rnacentral:rRNA from 1 species
GAUGAACGCUGGCGGCGUGCCUAAUACAUGCAAGUCGAGCGAACAGACGAGGAGCUUGCUCCUCUGACGUUAGCGGCGGACGGGUGAGUAACACGUGGAUAACCUACCUAUAAGACUGGGAUAACUUCGGGAAACCGGAGCUAAUACCGGAUAAUAUAUUGAACCGCAUGGUUCAAUAGUGAAAGACGGUUUUGCUGUCACUUAUAGAUGGAUCCGCGCCGCAUUAGCUAGUUGGUAAGGUAACGGCUUACCAAGGCAACGAUGCGUAGCCGACCUGAGAGGGUGACCGGCCACAUUGGGACUGAGAUACGGCCCAGACUCCUACGGGAGGCAACAGUGGGGAAUAUUGCACAAUGGGCGGAAGUCUGAUGCAGAAACGCGGCGUGCUGGAUGACGGCCUUCGGGUUGUAAACCGCUUUCGCCUGUGACGAAGCGUGAGUGACGGUAAUGGGUAAAGAAGCACCGGCUAACUACGUG